AUUGAAACACCAGUUCUCAUAAGAUCACCAAAAUUAAGCAACAUCAAAUUUGGUCAGUACUUGAAUGGGUGACCUUUUGGGAAUACCAGGUACUGUA
rnacentral:rRNA from 1 species